rnacentral:misc_RNA from 1 species
CAACCCCUUAAGCCUCUGCUGCUUAGCGUUGGGAGCCUACCGGUGCGGUAGCUCCCCAAAGUGAGUGGCGGGGCCGGCUCGUGCUCUGGGCGUAGUAGAUCUCCAUCUCGCCCGUGGCCGGUGCCGGUCUCCUGCCGUAAAACGCCCCAAUUUUUCA